GGGGUUAUGGCUCAGUGGUAGAGUGCUUUCCUGGCACGUGUGAGGCACUGGUUAUGAUUCCUGGAACACAUAAAAAUAAACAAAUACAAUAAAGGUAUAGGAAGAAAGAAAGAAAGAAAGAAAGAAAGAAAGAAAGAAAGAAAGAAAGAAAGAAAGAAAGAAAAGAAAAGAAAAGAAAGAGUCAACUGACAUGAGUGUGGGUUCCAUCAAGUCCA
rnacentral:tRNA from 1 species